rnacentral:rRNA from 1 species
AACGAACGCUGGCGGCAUGCCUAACACAUGCCAGUCGAACGAGACCUUCGGGUCUAGUGGCGCACGGGUGCGUAACGCGUGGGAACCUGCCCUUAGGUUCGGAAUAACUCCCCGAAAGGGGUGCUAAUACCGGAUAAUGUCUUCGGACCAAAGAUUUCUCGCCUUUGGAUGGGCCCGCGUUGGAUUAGCUAGUUGGUAGGGUAAAAGCCUACCAAGGCGACGAUCCAUAGCUGGUCUGAGAGGAUGAUCAGCCACACUGGGACUGAGACACGGCCCAGACUCCUACGGGAGGCAGCAGUGGGGAAUAUUGGACGAUGGGCGAAAGCCUGAUCCAGCAAUGCCGCGUGAGUGAUGAAGGCCUUAGGGUUGUAAAGCUCUUUUACCCGGGAUGAUAAUGACAGUACCGGGAGAAUAAGCUCCGGCUAACUCCGUG